rnacentral:lncRNA from 1 species
UGUUGGUCUGGUGGCUAAGGUGUGUGUUGGCGGGUGGGAGGUCUAGAGUUCAAGUCCCUACGUGAGCAAGGGAAUUAAUUUUUGUUGCUUGGCCGUGUGGCGUGGUGGAGUCCUAGUCAAAUUGAAAUUUCGAGUAGUGGAGUUGUUGUGGGAGGUUAGGGAGAGAAGUAAGGAGAUGAGUUACCAAUUUUUUUAGGCAUUAUCUUUUUGUUUAGUUUUUUUUUCAAAUUUUAGACUCUUGUCCACCUUUCUGAUGUUUUCUCUCUUCUCUCUUCUCUCUCACUCUUAAUUUUUAGUUUUCCUCUUUUUUCUAAAUAAUAAAUCCUUGCUGCUGAAUUUCCUCUGAAUUCCCCUUCCGUUUUCGUUGUCUUUCUUUAUCUUUUCCCCUUCGUGCAAUCUUGCAAUUGUGUUGUACGAUAAGUUUCCGUUUUAUUAAACUCGAAUGUUACUCUAGAUAAGGGAUUAAGGGGUGUUUUGUUGACUGU